rnacentral:rRNA from 1 species
GACGUAGGGCGCAAGCGUUGUCCGGAUUUAUUGGGCGUAAAGAGCUCGUAGGCGGCUUGUUGCGUCGACCGUGAAAACCCGUGGCUCAACUGCGGGCUUGCGGUCGAUACGGGCGGGCUAGAGUUCGGUAGGGGAGACUGGAAUUCCUGGUGUAGCGGUGAAAUGCGUAGAUAUCGGGAGGAACACCAGUGGCGAAGGCGACUACCUGGCCUGUUCUUGACGCUGAGGCGCGAAAGCUAGGGGAGCAAGCGGG